GUGAAGUCUGUGUCUGGAUCAAGAUGGAAUUGAUCUCUCUGGAUUAUUGAAGUUGAUGUAUCACUGUAUUUCAAUUUAGUAAAGUCUUAGUCAGAGUAAUCCAUGAGAUAGAUUUGAAAGGUUAAAAUACAAUAUGGAUGAAGCAAUUUUGAUUGAUAGUUAAUCUGAGGCCAUCCUAGAGCAUUCAAGGUCAAAAGGAUGAAUUAUAUAGU
rnacentral:lncRNA from 1 species